rnacentral:rRNA from 1 species
AACACAUGCAAGUCGAACGGCAGCACGGUAAGAGCUUGCUCUUAUGGGUGGCGAGUGGCGGACGGGUGAGGAAUACAUCGGAAUCUACCUUUUGGUGGGGGAUAACGUAGGGAAACUUACGCUAAUACCGCAUACGCCCUUCGGGGGAAAGCCGGGGACCAUCUAAGGCCUGGUGCUGAUAGAUGAGCCGAUGUCGGAUUAGCUAGUUGGUGAGGUAAUGGCUCACCAAGGCGACGAUCCGUAGCUGGUCUGAGAGGAUGAUCAGCCACACUGGAACUGAGACACGGUCCAGACUCCUACGGGAGGCAGCAGUGGGGAAUAUUGGACAAUGGGCGCAAGCCUGAUCCAGCCAUACCGCGUGGGUGAAGAAGGCCUUCCGGUUGUAAACCCCUUU